rnacentral:rRNA from 1 species
CGGGNUGNACGCGUGGGUAAUCUGCCCUUGAGUGGGGAAUAACUUGGGGAAACUUAAGCUAAUACCGCAUAACAUUUCCGAGACUUCGGUCUUGGAAAUCAAAGGUGGCGCAGUUCGACUGCUAUCGCUCAAGGAGGAGCCCGCGUCCCAUUAGCUUGUUGGUGGGGUAAUGGCCUACCAAGGCAUCGAUGGGUAGCCGGCCUGAGAGGGUGAUCGGCCACACUGGAACUGAGACACGGUCCANACUCCUACGGGAGGCAGCAGUGGGGAAUAUUGGGCAAUGGGCGAAAGCCUGACCCAGCGACGCCGCGUGAGCGAUGAAGGCCCUUGGGUCGUAAAGCUCUGUCAUGCGGGACGAAAUGUUUGUUCCUUAAUACGGUGCAAGCUUGACGGUACCGCAUGUAUGAAGCCCCUGGNCUAACUCCGGGCCAGCAGCCACAGGUAAUAC